rnacentral:rRNA from 1 species
GCUUACGGCCAUAACCAACCUGGCUAUGCCCGAUCUCGUCUGCUCUCGGAAGCUAAGCAGGUUUGGGCCUGGUUAGUACUUUGAUGGGAGACCGCCUGGGAAUACCAGGUGCUGUAAGCU